rnacentral:rRNA from 2 species
UAUGGGAUGAAAACCAUCACGCAGUGAGAGAGCUGUGAUAUAGGUAGCUGGAGUGGGACACCUUCCCAACCAGUGCACGUGAACUAUAUACGUGACUAACUCAUUAUACACGGGCCCACCACGGGCAGAGCGGCACGUUGAAUGCAUCCCUAACG